CAUUGUAAUAUGUGAAGGGCGGAACUCGAAUACGUAAUUGUCUGCUUAUUCACCUUAGGAUUUUAAUUUUUUUAUUUGUAAUAUAUCCAUUUUCAAGUUUUGGUUCUCCAAUUUUGUUUUGCUUUAAAAUGGUCCUAUUGAUUGUUUUUUUCUUUUUCAUUUUAGUUGUUGUUUGGUUUCCUUUUUAUAAAAUAUAUUUAUUUAUAUAUUUUAGUCAUGUUUUAUAUAUUUUUGUCUUUUAUAUUCAUCCCCGCACAAAUUAUCCCAAAAUUUAAGAAAAUAUAAUUUAAAAAAU
rnacentral:lncRNA from 1 species